AUGGAGGCUUAUGAGCAGGUUCAGAAGGGCCCCCUAAAGCUGAAAGGCGUGGCGGAGCUUGGUGUGACAAAGCGAAAGAAGAAGAAGGACAAAGACAAGGACAAGGCCAAGAUUCUGGAGGCCAUGGGGACGAGCAAGAAGAGUGAGGAGGAGGAGAAGAGGCGCUGCCUGGACAAGCGCACACCGGCGCAGGCAGCCUUCGAAAAGAUGCAGGAGAAGCGGCAAAUGGAAAGAAUCUUGAAGAAGGCGUCAAAAACCCACAAGCAGAGAGUGGAGGACUUCAACCGACACCUGGAUACACUCACUGAGCACUAUGACAUCCCCAAAGUCAGCUGGACCAAGUAA
rnacentral:lncRNA from 1 species